GGGGUCUUAGCUCAGCUGGGAGAGCAUCUGCCUUACAAGCAGAGGGUCACAGGUUCGAGCCCUGUAGGCCCGA
rnacentral:tRNA from 1 species